GGCAGGAAGCCAAGCUCUCUCAAGAUACUACUGUUUUUCUUUACUCGGCCAUCUAUGACAACAGAAAACAUACUGAUGUGCGACCAUGUGUGCGGAUAGUGAGUGUGAGCAGUUCAACAUGCCUGCCGCCUGCCUACUGUCACUUGUGGUUCAAUGUUACAAAACCCCCUGUACCUUCGAGAAUUAUCAAAACUGAAUACAUAGACUACCAGUG